rnacentral:rRNA from 1 species
UACGGAGGGGGCUAGCGUUGUUCGGAAUUACUGGGCGUAAAGCGCACGUAGGCGGCUUUGCAAGUCAGAGGUGAAAGCCCGGGGCUCAACCCCGGAAUUGCCUUUGAGACUGCAUCGCUAGAAUUGUGGAGAGGUAAGUGGAAUUCCGAGUGUAGAGGUGAAAUUCGUAGAUAUUCGCAAGAACACCAGUGGCGAAGGCGGCUCACUGGCCCGAUACUGACGCUGAGGCACGAAAGCUCGGGGAGCGAACGGG